rnacentral:rRNA from 1 species
GAUGAACGCUAGCUACAGGCUUAACACAUGCAAGUCGAGGGACCGGCGCACGGGUGAGUAACACGUAUCCAACCUGCCCUUUACUCGGGGAUAGCCUUUCGCAAGAAAGAAUAAUACCCGAUAUAAAGGAUGGGGAUGCGUUCCAUUAGGUUGUUGGUGAGGUAACGGCCAACCAAGCCUUCGAUGGAUAGGGUUUCUGAGAGGAAGGCCCCCCACAUUGGAGCUGAGACCCGGUCCAAACGCGUACGGGAGGCAGGAGUGAGGAGUAUUGGUCAAUGUGCGUUAGCCUGAACCAGCCAAGUAGCGUGAAGGAUGAAGGCUUAUGGGUGGUAAACUUCUUUUAUAUAAGAAUAUGUAUUAUAUGAAUAAGGAUCGGCUAACUCCGUGCCAGCAGCCGCGGUAAUUC